rnacentral:lncRNA from 1 species
GGGUGGGGGUUCAGAGAUGCAAAUUAAGUACUUAGAUCAAUAUUUUAUCUUUUCGUGUAUGGUUUAUGACCCCUCCUGUGGCCUGUCAAUUACGAAAUGUGCAAACUGCAAUAGUAUCAAAACAGCACAGACAAGGAAUAAUAGAGAUAUAAUUUUUUACAUAUAUCAAGGGGAAACUUUUUGCAAAGCAUUAUUAUUUAUAGUUCAUUAUUGUAUUUAGUAGAAAAAGAGAAUUUGGUGAAAAUAAAAUCACUAUUUUUGUAGAAAAUUCACAGACCUUUGUACAGAGAUUUUUGUUAUGUUUAGCAUGGGAUCAACACAAGGGUACAUUAUCCUUAAAAAUCUAUUUAAAAGUAUUUGAAACUACCGUUUGCUUUGUUAAUUGUGCCUUCAAUUUCAAAAAUUAAAAUAUCUCGUAGCUUCAUACUACCAAUUGAGUAUAAAACAAGUAUAUUAGUUUAAAAAAGAAAUUCUUAGAUUAAACACCUACAUUUAACUUUAAAAGGUCAUAACAGUUUAAAAACAAUACAAAUCUACACACACAAAAAACUGGCUUUAUUUCAACUGGUUAUCAACCCGAAUCGCUAUAAGAUCAUAUAUAAGCUCAAGAGUGAAUCUAGGAAAAACAAUAUUCAUCAACAAACAUGACCACUGUCUGUUAAAAUGUAUUCGAGUUUUUAGUUACAGCCGAUUCCAUUGAGUAUGUAGGCAAAGGUAAUAUCUUUGGUUAGCUUGCUUGUUAGCUAAACCGUGAAGUCAUUGUUAGGUAAGGUAUAUUACCCUCCUUUCGAAGUAGCCUGGUCCUACAGACAGAAAGAUGUGUCAUUUGUCGGACUAGUCUACUCUUAAAGUAGGGUAGUUUACAUAACCUAACAAUGACUUUUCUGUUCAGCAAGCAAGAUAACCAAAGAUAUUCCCUUUGUCUACACACUCAUUGAAAUCGGCUUUAAUAUUGCAAAAGUUCAAGCAAUUAGGGCAAAACUUACCGAGUAAAAAAAAUCAAAAGGCCAAUGUCUAUCUACCUUGCACAUUUCAGAAAAUUCAGAUCAGAUAACGAAACUGGGUCCAGCAACAUUUAUAAGCAAUUUAAGAUUUUGACCCUCACAGUUUCCAUUCACCACAAAUAUUCUCGUUACAACGAAUCAUUUUAAAUACAAAAAUACCAGUUGCAGCCUUUUGUUUAUCUGUUGAUAUAUGUAUACGGAUAAAGUUAUGAAACGCAGCAGGGUCACCAGGGUGAGGAGUCCAUGUCAUCUGAAAUAAAUGCUAAGCAUAGAUCUAGAAAGCGACAGAUAAUCAUGACAUUAAAAAAACUCUCUUCUUUUCGACUUUUUUUCGAACAAAUUGACACAUAAAAUGAAUUAAUAUAGUAUUGUGGAAUUUUUAACUUGACGUGUUCAAUUCAUUGGUUAUACCUGUUACUAGGAUAACAAUCCUGUCAAGUAUGAGCUGGGUAAAAUAUUUCAGUAAAGAAGAUGGAAAUGUGAAAGUUUCCGUGCGUCAGUUGCAACAGCAUUCGAACAGCUAACAUGCCUCGUUAGGGUGGAAGCUAAACAGUUCACGAACAUUUGAUUUGAAACCUUUAUUCGUUUAAACAAAGUUAUUGAGAUUUUGUUGAGGAUUUAACCAUCUACGACAACACGAUUUUUUUCUUAGAAUUUACAGCUCUUCUAAUACAUUAACUUCAAUUCCUCUCAGUUUUUAUUUGUCCAAUCAAAUUAAUCCCAGUAUGUAUUGAAACUCCGCCUCCCUAUUGUUUGAAAACAUCCAAGCAAACAUAGCAAAGCAAGUCAAUCAAAGUUUUUUUUUGCAUGCUUUUAUAGAAGAGCUGUUCUAUAUAAUGCAAAGAAGCGUUUAAGUCUUUUGUCAAAAAAAACUAUCAAUUUCUUUUUGUCCUAUGUAAUCUUCCGUACCAUUUCCUUCCAUUCAUGAUUAUUAAAUUGAAGUGUAAAAUAUUAUAGGUACCUUCUUUAUUCCUUUAUAAGUCUUAUGUAAACAUAAUUAUGACAAUAACUGUUGUGAGCACAAGAUUCACUGCACACUUUUAAAGUUCUGCUUCAUCAAACAUUAAAAUGUGAACUUAAGUUUUGAGACUUUUUUAAUCGACACGAUUUGGAUUUUUGUAUAUGAGAACAUGGUUUAUCUAUUAGUUGAAAAUGCGACUUUGAACUAGCUUUCAGCAUGUUCAGUACCUGCGAGCAUUCGUUGUUCAAUAAUGUGUGUCUUUGUGUUAUUAUUUUGUUGUGUUGGUACACCACUGUAACAAUGAAGGAGGAAAUGAGGAGGGUUGGUUGGGUGGAAGUGGGGAGGGGUAUGCGGAGCGCUAACAAACAUGUCUAUGCGGCAUGGGCUUUGAUCAUUGUUGAAGCAUCAAUGUAAGGGGCAUUUAAUAUCUUAAUAAAACUAUUUUUAUUUUAGAUACUAUAUAUUGUUAUCUGAUAUUGGACGAAAGAUGUUGCCCUUUUAUGUAAUUAUGUAAUACAAGUUACGAUCAUUUGAAAAC